GGUAGGGUUUUCGAAGCAAGAAGCUUAGCCCCCAAAAGAAAUAAUGUUUGAAAAUUCACAGUUGAACUUUUUCUUGCCUGAUUCAAUGACAGGCUUUUUCAACGAAGCACCUCUCUUUAAUGUCACACACGUAAUUACUCCACUUCUUAAAACUGACUGCUGCUCUACUGGGGAAAGGCAUCUCUCUUACUCAUAUGGGAGAAAAUGUUGCUCUAACAUUAAUGCAACCUAAAGAUGAAUUGUCAUCAUUCUUAACAGUUCCUGUAUAUACACUGGAGUCGAGCAUCCAAGAUACAUUACCACGGAGCACAUAAGCCCUUCGCACUGUAUGAAAUGCAGUUUAUGUAACCUUGUUUGUCAAACCUAAGGAAGCGAAAGCCAGCAGGUGGACAGGCUACCCAGCCACGCUGAGGAGGGAAGAGGGAGAGAGCUGUGGCGCUCCUAGCUCUGCUCCACACCCGGCUGCCUGGUCCUCCGGCUAUUUAUAAACACGGAACUGAACAGAAGGGGGCCCUGCCACAUGCACCCUGUGAGCACCAGGUCCAGACAGUUGUGCUCAAACUGAAUUCCCGGGGUUGGGGGUUGGGGGCGGUGUCGGGUUGGGGGUGGGGUAGGCAGGCCUGUAGACUCUCCCUCAGUGGCCCUCCAUACUUGGCAGCUUAAGAUCCUCUGGGUGCAGUUUCGUCUGGUCAGGAAAUGGAAUGCGAGGAUUUCCAGCGGUCACUUCCAGCCUGGGAUUCUAUAUAUGGAAACAUCCCAUCCCAGUGUUUUGGGCCUCUUGAGCACCGCUGCCAGGGAGGAGUGAGGUGGAGGCCAGCCCUCUUCUUGCUCAGGGCAGGCCCACUGGCUCAUAGGUCUCCCAGGCCUGCCUGCCUUGGAUUGAACCUUGUCAUCCAAAGCCAGACCCUUGCGGAAUCCUGAAGCCUUGGGUGCCGGGUGGAGGAGCAGCUACCCGGGAGCAGCUGGGGGAGGACCCUGCAUUCUUCCUCUGCCUGAACAGUGGGCGCUCUGUUCACGCCUGCUGCAGCAGCACCAAGGAAAGAACCUCCCCUUUCCAAAAUCACAACCUACACAUCCCUCCUUCACCCUCCGGGCUAGCCUCUCAGCCUGUCACCCCAUCACCACCACACCCCCCAACAAAGUGCUGAGCCUGUCUGUCAGCGUCUUCACCUUUUACUACCGUUAGUAAGGAAUCUUGGGGCAACAACAAGCGAUUGUUAUAGACCGUAAAGUUUCCUAACAAAAAGCAUCCAGGGUCCGGAAUUCUCCCUUCUUUAAAAGCCAGCCACAGACUGCAUCAUGACUGGCCUCAUAAUCGCCCAGCGAACCCAUCGCAAACAUCAUUUUAAUAGUCUGUAGCGUCACCUACAUAGUAUUCUGAAAAGAGCUCUAAAAAAAAAAAAUCUCGGGAAUAACCGCGGGAGGUGUGUGUGUGUUUGGUGGUUUGUGUGUGUGUGUGGGGGGGGGGGGUAGUUGGAAAUCAGUGCAAUGUUCAUGUAUUCCUCAUACAGCCUCAUCAAAGCUUGGCUUCUGAAGGGCAGUCCCGGGCUUCUUCAUGUGUUGCUGAAAUCCAGAGAGCCACGUUGCCCAUAAGGAGGAGGGGGGAAAAAAGCCCAGAAAAUCCAGACUCUACGUGACCUGACUUACUUAUUUCCCAGGAAACUGCAUGAGAGAAAAAUCAAUCAUUCAUGCUACCGUAGCUACCACACGGAAUGGACGGAAGAAGCUGACAGUGGGCAAAGACCCAAAGCAGCCAGCGGAGCUCCGGGAUGGUGAUUUCCGGCGUCCCGGGGUCUCUCUCCCCGCUGGGCAGCAGCUCGGACCCUUCACGCCCGCAUUCCCGAGCGGCGAUCACCACUGGAAGGAGAAAAAGGGCUGCAGUGAGACCUCGGUCAGCGAGGAAGCGCACCCUGGAUAUGAGUGCAUGGGGGGGCGGGGGACCCCCUCCCCCAAAUCCCGGCCGCCCCUCGGGCUCAGAUGAGGAAGAUGAGCUUAGUUGCCGUUCUGGGGAUGGCAAGAAGGCUUCUUUCCCAGUUCCACCGCCUCGUUCGUGUCAGACAUGUGCACCUAACCAGCUGUUGAGGUAUUGAAAGGUCUUACGGAGCUGCAAAAAAGCACAGUGGACGCCAGCACAGGUGCUGAGUUUACAAAGCUGUACAUGCUGAGGGAUUCUCUGAAUGAAUUGAAGAUCCGAUUGUCAAAUAAAUUAACAUUCUCAGCAUUAGUUUGCUUUUCUUGCCUCUACAAUCUGGGAAGGGAAGAAGGUGACAUUUGCUUGGAUAUUCAAGCUGAGUACUUGGAUGAAGAGUCAACAUGUCUGCAACUUAUUUUGAAAUGGUUCAGCAAAUUCCACUCAUAGAUAAGUGAAUAUGGCAAAAGUUGGAUAGGAGUGCAAAUGAUUCCUGAACAAACUGCCUGCACAUUGGGCACUGCCGGAAGUACUUCACACAACCAUCACAUAAGCACGUAUGUCUGCACGGCAAGAGCACCCAGUUCACAGGCCCAUUCUGACAGACGACACAGUCCUU